rnacentral:rRNA from 1 species
UACGGAGGGAGCGAGCGUUGUCCGAAGUUACUGGGCGUAAAGCGCGCGUAGGCGGGAAAUUAAGUGAGAAGUGAAAGGCUGGGGCUUAACCCCAUGCAGUGCUCCUCAUACUGGUUUUCUUGAGGGUGGUAGAGAGAAGUGGAAUGGCUGGUGUAGCGGUGAAAUGCGUAGAUAUCAGUCGGAACACCAGUGGCGAAGGCGGCUUCUUGGGCCAUUACUG